AGUUUGAUCCUGGCUCAAAUUGAACGCUGGCGGCAUGCUUUACACAUGCCAGUCGGACGGCAGCACACAGAAUCUUGCUUCUUGGGUGGCGAGUGGCGAACGGGAGAGUAACAUAUCGGAACGUACCGAGCAGUGGGGGAUAACUAAUCGAAAAGAUUAACUAAUACCGCAUAUAUUCUGAGGAAGAAAGCAGGGGACCAUUUGGCCUUGCGCCGUUUGAGCGGCCGAUAUCUGAUUAGCUAGUUGGUGGGGUAAAGGCCUACCAAGGCGACGAUCAGUAGCGGGUCUGAGAGGAUGAUCCGCCACACUGGGACUGAGACACGGCCCAGACUCCUACGGGAGGCAGCAGUGGGGAAUUUUGGACAAUGGGCGCAAGCCUGAUCCAGCCAUGCCGCGUGUCUGAAGAAGGCCUUCGGGUUGUAAAGGACUUUUGUCAGGGAAGAAAAGGCUGUUGCUAAUAUCGACAGCUGAUGACGGUACCUGAAGAAUAAGCACCGGCUAACUACGUGCCAGCAGCCGCGGUAAUACGUAGGGUGCGAGCGUUAAUCGGAAUUACUGGGCGUAAAGCGAGCGCAGACGGUUACUUAAGCAGGAUGUGAAAUCCCCGAGCUCAACCUGGGAACUGCGUUCUGAACUGGGUGACUAGAGUGUGUCAGAGGGAGGUAGAAUUCCACGUGUAGCAGUGAAAUGCGUAGAGAUGUGGAGGAAUACCGAUGGCGAAGGCAGCCUCCUGGGAUAACACUGACGUUCAUGCUCGAAAGCGUGGGUAGCAAACAGGAUUAGAUACCCUGGUAGUCCACGCCCUAAAC
rnacentral:rRNA from 1 species